rnacentral:tRNA from 1 species
AGCUCAGUGGUCCAAUCGUAAAACUCUUGUCGCGGAACCAGAAGGUUUUGGGUUCGAUCCCCAACGGGGUCG